rnacentral:rRNA from 1 species
ACAUGCUUACAACAUAACAUUAAUUCAAUGAAUCCCAUUGGAACUCAAGAGUUAAGCGCGCCCGGAAUAGAGUAGUACUGGGAUGGGUGACUUCUCGAAAAGCCUUGGUAUUUUACAUGCC